CAUAAACAUGUUGCUCAUUAGAAGAGAAUAUGCCAAAACUGAAAAAUAUGCCUUUUUAGAAAAUGAUCUCAUUUUUGGCAGAAUAUCCAUUACUUCUGAAUGAAGACAUAACCAUUCUCAUUCUAGACAAAAUGCUAUAGGGCAUUUUAUUUAGAAAAAGAAACACUCUUUGCAUUUCCCAGAGAAUACAAAAGAAGUAAAACACAUUACAAAUGUUGUAUGGUUGCUUUAUGAAUUAGUCCUUUUAUGUUUCCAAAGCACGUACAAUAGAUAAGCCUCAUAACUGUGUAUAUUUUCCUCUAAGGGACCAUUGAAAAUCUUUGUGGUUAGUGAUAUUUUUAAUUCAGCUCUGGACUUUCUCCAGGAAAUCACUAAUAAUUACUAAUUGUAUUUUUGUAAGUUAAUGAAAGGAUGCAUUCUAUUUUCAAUGCCACCCCUCACUUGUGUAAUUCAUGAUGUUUCUUUUUUACAUGAUUGAGUAAAGCUAUAAUACAGAGACAUGAAUUAACUAAGAAAGCUUCUUUGUGCAGUUUUAUAGAAAUUAAGUGUAAAGUCUAGUCAUGCAGUUGUCAUAAAAAGAAACUAUUCCUUCAUCAUUUUUUUCUUCCAUUUUUGCUGCAUAGAUUUUUCUAUGAACAGUAGCAGAAAAGAGAACCAUUUAGUGAAACAGUUGUUCUGAAUGUAGUUAUCCAUUGAGACUGUGGACAAUCUUAUUUGUAAAAAAUAUAUUAUGAAAUUUCCUUAGAGAGCCUUUUCACAGUGUUGAAUUUAACUGAAUGUCAAUAAGAAUAAGACACCUGGAAGAAAUUUUCUGAUACUUCCAAGACUUCCAAACUGUAAAUUCAGAUAGCUCCUUAAAUUUGUGAAAUCAUGUUUAUUCAAUAAAAUCUACAGUUCUUGUGAUUAGAUUGAAUGGAAGUUUAUGAUUUAGGAAAGAAUCUGCAAGGAAUAACCGAGAAGAAAAACUAACAUCUUGCAUCACAGAGAGUUGGCUUCCCCUUCAAACUCUUCCACCAACUUGGAGGGCACCAUCAUGGAAAAAUACAGGUUUCUCACUAACCUGUAUAAUCUUGAUGUUACCUGUUUUUGUGAUCCUCCUUAAAUUUCUUGGGAACAAAAGAAGACUGUUAACUAACAUUUUAGUUCUUUGUGAAAACAUGCUUUUCCUCAUCACCUUUCAUAAAUUUUAGAUGACUUUAUAAAUGGGA
rnacentral:lncRNA from 1 species